rnacentral:rRNA from 11 species
CCGCUGGUGGACCAGUUAUCAUGCCAAUGGUAUAGCUGGGUAGUUAAGUGCGGAAGAGAUAAACGCUGAAAGCAUCUAAGCGUGAAACUCGCCUUAAGAUGAGAUUUCCCUGGGGGUUUAACCCCCCUAAAGAGUCGUUCGAGACCAGGACGUGAUAGGACGGAUGUGUAAGUGCAGUAAUGCAUUAAGCUGACCGUUACUAAUU